UUUAUUUAUUUUAGAGAGACAGACAGCAUGAGUGAGAUGGGCAGAGGGAGAGAGAGAAUCUCAAGCAUACUCCACACUGAUCGCGGAGCCUGACAUAGAGCUUGAUCCUAGAACCCCGAGAACAUGACCAGUGCAGAAACCAAGAUGGACACUCAGAAAUCAAUUGUACCACUCAGAUUUAUGGUACAAUUGAGGAACUCCUUAAAAACAGUAGUAAGAAAAGAUGAAGAGAGAGUGAAAAAGUGGUUGAAGAUGUCUGGGAGUUUGUGCUCCUUAAAUAGUUUCAAGCAAUGAAUGAAAUGACUGAAAGAUUGAGGACAUAAUCUCCAAUCUUAGGCACCAUUAUGGAGAAAUUCACACAGACAGUAGGAAAACCAAAGGAAUAAUCAAAGGUGUCAGAGAGAUCAUCUCGUAAAAUCAUAUCACUAAUUUAGAGACAGAUUGAGGGUCUUUAUAUUAUUUGCCUCUUUUUAAAUUUGAACACAAAAUUCUAAAUAUCUGUGCUAGUCUUUAUUGUCUAUUGGUUCCAUAAACUAGUUCUGUACUUUAAAAGAAGAGAAAUAACAUUCUAAGCAUAUCUGUGUAUUUUUCUCUACAAGAAAAUUUACCCAUAACCAAAAAAGGAGUACAACACAUUGACACACCCCGAUGUUCAUAGCAACAUAUCAAUAAUAGCCAA